UACGUAGGGCGCAAGCGUUGUCCGGAAUUAUUGGGCGUAAAGAGCUCGUAGGUGGUUUGUCGCGUUGUCCGUGAAAACGUCACAACUCAAUUGUGGGCGUGCGGGCGAUACGGGCAGACUGGAGUACUGCAGGGGAGACUGGAAUUCCUGGUGUAGCGGUGGAAUGCGCAGAUAUCAGGAGGAACACCGGUGGCGAAGGCGGGUCUCUGGGCAGUAACUGACGCUGAGGAGCGAAAGCGUGGGGAGCGAACAGG
rnacentral:rRNA from 1 species